rnacentral:rRNA from 1 species
AGUGAACGCUGGCGGUAGGCCUAACACAUGCAAGUCGAACGGCAGCACAGUAAGAGCUUGCUCUUACGGGUGGCGAGUGGCGGACGGGUGAGGAAUACAUCGGAAUCUACUUUUUCGCGGGGGAUAACGUAGGGAAACUUACGCUAAUACCGCAUACGACCUACGGGUGAAAGCAGGGGAUCUUCGGACCUCGCGCGAUUGAAUGAGCCGAUGUCGGAUUAGCUAGUUGGCGGGGUAAAGGCCCACCAAGGCGACGAUCCGUAGCUGGUCUGAGAGGAUGAUCAGCCACACUGGAACUGAGACACGGUCCAGACUCCUACGGGAGGCAGCAGUGGGGAAUAUUGGACAAUGGGCGCAAGCCUGAUCCAGCCAUACCGCGUGGGUGAAGAAGGCCUUCGGGUUGUAAAGCCCUUUUGUUGGGAAAGAAAAGCAGCAGGUUAAUACCCCGCUGUUCUGACGGUACCCAAAGAAUAAGCACCGGCUAACUUCGUG